rnacentral:rRNA from 1 species
AACGAACGCUGGCGGCAUGCCUAACACAUGCAAGUCGAACGAGACCUUCGGGUCUAGUGGCGCACGGGUGCGUAACGCGUGGGAACCUGCCCUUAGGUUCGGAAUACCUCCCCGAAAGGGGUGCUAAUACCGGAUAAUGUCUUCGGACCAAAGAUUUAUCGCCUUUGGAUGGGCCCGCGUUGGAUUCGCUGGUUGGUAGGGUAAUAGCCUACCAAGGCGACGAUCCAUAGCUGGUCUGAGAGGAUGAUCAGCCACACUGGGACUGAGACACGGCCCAGACUCCUACGGGAAGCAGCAGUGGGGAAUAUUGGACAAUGGGGGAAGGCCUGAUCCAGCAAUGCCGCGUAAGUGAUGAAGGCCGUAGGGAUGUAAAGCUCUUUUACCCGGGAUGAUAAUGACGGUACCGGGAGAAUAAGCUCCGGCUAACUCCGUG